UCGGGAAUUUUGGGCAAUGGGCGAAAGCCUGACCCAGCAACGCCGCGUGAAGGAUGAAGUAUUCGGUAUGUAAACUUCGAAAGAAUAGGAAGAAUAAAUGACGGUACUAUUUAUAAGGUCCGGCUAACUACGUGCCAGCAGCCGCGGUAAUACGUAGGGACCAAGCGUUGUUCGGAUUUACUGGGCGUAAAGGGCGCGUAGGCGGCAAUUCAAGUCAUCUGUGAAAUCUCCGGGCUUAACUCGGAACGGUCAGAUGAUACUGCUUUGCUAGAGUGCAGAAGGGGCAAUCGGAAUUCUUGGUGUAGCGGUGAAAUGCGUAGAUAUCAAGAGGAACACCUGAGGUGAAGACGGGUUGCUGGGCUGACACUGACGCUGAGGCGCGAAAGCCAGGGGAGCAAACGGGAUUAGAUACCCCAGUAGUCCCUGAGCGGGCUGGCAAGGCGCAU
rnacentral:rRNA from 1 species